CAGCCGCCGCGGGAAUACAGAGGGUGCGAGCGUUAAUCGGAUUUACUGGGCGUAAAGCGUGCGUAGGCGGCUUUUUAAGUCGGAUGUGAAAUCCCUGAGCUUAACUUAGGAAUUGCAUUCGAUACUGGGAAGCUAGAGUAUGGGAGAGGAUGGUAGAAUUCCAGGUGUAGCGGUGAAAUGCGUAGAGAUCUGGAGUAAUACCGAUGGCGAAGGCAGCCAUCUGGCCUAAUACUGACGCUGAGGUACGAAAGCAUGGGGAGCAAACAGGAUUAGAUACCCCGGUAGUCCCUGUCUCUUAUAC
rnacentral:rRNA from 1 species